rnacentral:rRNA from 1 species
UACGGAGGGUGCGAGCGUUGUCCGGAAUCAUUGGGCGUAAAGGGCGCGUAGGUGGCCCGGUCAGUCUUUGGUGAAAGCGCGGGGCUCAACCCUGCGUCGGCCAGGGAUACUGCCGCGGCUCGAGCACUGUAGAGGCAGGCGGAAUUCCGGGUGUAGCGGUGGAAUGCGUAGAGAUCCGGAAGAACACCGGUGGCGAAGGCGGCCUGCUGGGCAGUUGCUGGACACUGAGGCGCGACAGCGUGGGGAGCAAACAGGG